rnacentral:rRNA from 1 species
UACAGAGGCCUCAAGCGUUAGGCGGAAUCACUGGGCUUAAAGCGCGUGUAGGCGGAUCGUUAAGUGUCUUGUGAAAUCCCACGGCUCAACCGUGGAACUGCUGGGCAUACUGGCGAUCUUGGGCCACUCAGGGGCAACCGGAACAAGCGGUGGAGCGGUGAAAUGCGUAGAUAUCGCUUGGAACGCCAAGGGUGAAGACAGGUUGCUGGGGGUGUGCCGACGCUGAGACGCGAAAGCCAGGGGAGCAAACGGG